GACAGAGGGUGCAAACGUUUGUUCGGAUUUACUGGGCGUAAAGCGUGCGCAGGCGGCUUCGCAAGUCAGACGUGAAAUCCCCGGGCUUAACCUGGGAAUGGCGUUUGAAACUACGGAGCUGGAGUGUGGCAGAGGGAGGUAGAAUUCCACGUGUAGCGGUGAAAUGCGUAGAUAUGUGGAGGAAUACCGAUGGCGAAGGCAGCCUCCUGGGCCAACACUGACGCUCAUGCACGAAAAGCGUGGGGGAGCAAAACAGG
rnacentral:rRNA from 1 species